rnacentral:rRNA from 1 species
UACGAAGGGGGCUAGCGUUGCUCGGAAUUACUGGGCGUAAAGCGCACGUAGGCGGAUUGUUAAGUCGGGGGUGAAAUCCUGGAGCUCAACUCCAGAACUGCCUUCGAUACUGGCGAUCUCGAGUCCGGGAGAGGUGAGUGGAACUGCGAGUGUAGAGGUGAAAUUCGUAGAUAUUCGCAAGAACACCAGUGGCGAAGGCGGCUCACUGGCCCGAUACUGACGCUGAGACGCGAAAGCGUGGGGAGCGAACAGG